UACGGGGGGGGCAAGCGUUGUUCGGAAUUACUGGGCGUAAAGGGCUCGUAGGUGGCCAACUAAGUCAGACGUGAAAUCCCCCGGCUCAACCGGGGAACGGGCACGGAUACGGCUCUUCUGGAGGAACGUAGGGGGACCUGGAACUUCCGGUGGAGCGGUGAAAUGCGUUGAGAUCGGAAGGAACGCCCGUGGCGAAAGCGAGGUCCUGGACGUUUACUGACGCUGAGACGCGAAAGCCAGGGGAGCGAACGGG
rnacentral:rRNA from 1 species